GACGAACGCUGGCGGCGUGCUUAACACAUGCAAGUCGAACGGAAAGGCCCCGUUGUUGGUCCUCGAGUGGUGAACGGGGGAGGAACACGUAAGUAACCUGCCCUUGACUUUGGGAUAACUUCAGGAAACUGGGGCUAAUACUAGUUAGGAAUCCUUGCUUCAUCGGGGUGGUUGGAAAGCGUCGGCGGUUUUGGAUGGAAUGGCUGCUUAUCGGCUUGUUGGAGGGGUAGUGGCUUACCAAGGCUGUGACGGGUAGCCGGCCUGAGAGGGCGACCGGCCACAUUGGGACUGAGGUACGGCCCAGACUCGGACGGGAGGGAGCAGUGGGGAAUCUUGACCGAUGAGCGGCAGCCUGAUGAAGAAAGGCCGCGUGCGGGAUGACGGUCUUCGGGUUGAAAACCGCUUUCAGCAGGGGCGAAGCUUGUGGUGACGGUACCUGAAGAAGAAGCAACGGCUAACUACGUG
rnacentral:rRNA from 1 species